GCGGCCGGGCCUGCGGGAGCGGAGCGGCGUGAGGGGUCCUGCUGACACCUUUAUAUUCGUUUCUCUCUUCCUGUGGAGAAGGAAGCAUCUAUGGAGAAUAUAUACCUAGUGGUUUUCCUUUAACAGGAGAAGGCACUUCAUUUCUGUUAAGGAAGUAGCAGAAACUCAGCUGUACAUGUGGUACAUGACUCCACAGAAAUUACAAAUUAGUAUGUGAAGGAGGAUAUUGGAGAUUUUUAUCUUCUGAAGCAGAGCUAAAAUGGAGGGAAAAUGAGAUGCCUGGCUCAGUG